GGGGAAUAUUGGACAAUGGGGGGAACCCUGAUCCAGCCAUGCCGCGUGUGUGAAGAAGGCCUUUUGGUUGUAAAGCACUUUAAGCGAGGAGGAGGCUACCGAGAUUAAUACUCUUGGAUAGUGGACGUUACUCGCAGAAUAAGCACCGGCUAACUCUGUGCCAGCAGCCGCGGUAAUACAGAGGGUGCGAGCGUUAAUCGGAUUUACUGGGCGUAAAGCGUGCGUAGGUGGUCUUUUAAGUCGGAUGUGAAAUCCCUGAGCUUAACUUAGGAAUUGCAUUCGAUACUGGGAGACUAGAGUAUGGGAGAGGAUGGUAGAAUUCCAGGUGUAGCGGUGAAAUGCGUAGAGAUCUGGAGGAAUACCGAUGGCGAAGGCAGCCAUCUGGCCUAAUACUGACACUGAGGUACGAAAGCAUGGGGAGCAAAC
rnacentral:rRNA from 1 species